rnacentral:rRNA from 1 species
ACGCUCGACACCUACGGGAGGUAGCAGUAGGGAAUAUUGCACAAUGGGGGAAACCCUGAUGCAGCGACGCCGCGUGAGUGAAGAAGUAUUUCGGUAUGUAAAGCUCUAUCAGCAGGGAAGAAAAUGACGGUACCUGACUAAGAAGCCCCGGCUAACUACGUCGCNNNCGCGAGUAUNGNGCGGNGNGACGAGC